rnacentral:rRNA from 1 species
AACGCUGGCCGGCGUGCUAACACAUGCAAGUCGAACGAGAAAGUGGAGCUAUCCAUGAGUAAAGUGGCGACCGGGUGAGUAACACGUGACUAACCUACCUCCGAGUGGGGAAUAACUCCGGGAAACCGGGGCUAAUACCGCAUAACAUCUCGAGAUCAAAGCAGCAAUGCGCUUGGAGAGGGGGUCGCGGCUGAUUAGCUAGUUGGUAGGGUAACGGCCUACCAAGGCGAAGAUCGGUAUCCGGCCUGAUAGGGCGCACGGACACACUGGAACUGAAACACGGUCCAGACUCCUACGGGUGGCAGCAGUGGGGAAUUUUGCGCAAUGGGGGAAACCCUGACGCAGCAACUCCGCGUGGAGGAUGAAGCCCCUUGGGGCGUAAACUCCUUUCGACCAAGAUGAUAAUGACGGUACUGGUGGAAGAAGCACCGGCUAACUCUGUGCCAGCAUCCGCGGUAAUU